rnacentral:rRNA from 1 species
CAGUAGCCGCGGUAAUACGAAGGGGGCUAGCGUUGCUCGGAAUCACUGGGCGUAAAGGGUGCGUAGGCGGGUCUUUAAGUCAGGGGUGAAAUCCUGGAGCUCAACUCCAGAACUGCCUUUGAUACUGAAGAUCUUGAGUUCGGGAGAGGUGAGUGGAACUGCGAGUGUAGAGGUGAAAUUCGUAGAUAUUCGCAAGAACACCAGUGGCGAAGGCGGCUCACUGGCCCGAUACUGACGCUGAGGCACGAAAGCGUGGGGAGCAAACAGGAUUAGAUACCCGCGUAGUCCCCUGUCUCUUAUU